AAUAAAAGAUUUUUGCCUUCAAACAUGCAACCGUGUUUGUUAGUUCCAACAAGUUCAAUAAUUAAAAAUUUUUAAAUAAAAAAAAAUGUAAUUUUGUAACCAGUAUAUGCUAUUGAAAGAUGUCACGGAAUUACAAAACAUGCAUACUAAAAAUUUAAGAGAAAAAUAAAUUUAAAAACUAAAAAGUUACCCAGGUAACAUAAAGCUUGUUAAUUGUUUUAUUUGGCGUUUGCUGCUAACAUUGACGACCAGUGGACCACUAAUACAAUAAUAAUAUAGCUGAACAAGACUACAAAUUAUUAGCUUAAAAAUUUUAAUACCUACCUUGUAACUAUGCUACAUGCAUGUUUGUUUUGAUAAUACAUAAUUAUUUUAUUUUUGUACUUGCUUACAGAUUCCAGAAUCAAUACGUUUAUAAUUAAAUGUAGACAUAUAUUUUUUUUUGUUUAAAGUAUAGGUACUAGGAAAUUAUUGCAAUGUAAAGUAUGUUCGAUCGUCAUUCUCAACGUUCAACAAGAUUUUUAACAUUCGUUGUACUUCAUUGUACAAUAUCCAUUAUUAAAUAUGCAGACAGGCCAGACGAAUGAAACACUGACAGUUGUGGGGAAACGCUGUAGAGUGAUCGGUCUUAUAAAUUGUAUACUUUUAAGUUUCGAGUUAUUGGUGUUUGUAUUAUUUAUAAUAUAUAUGGAAAUCUAUAUUGAUGAUUUUUUCAAACCACAAGAAAGGGAAAAUCCGGCUUUUGUAUACUUAGUCAUCGUUCUUUUGUUGAUCAUGCUCGUCUGCAUAUUAUUAUAUUCUAACUAUAGAUUGUUAAGUCUAAAUACGUAAUGGAAGUGUGAUUAAAAAAUGGCUGUUAUACCAUAAAAUUAUAUUUUGUUUUUUUCUUCUAAUAUUUAUCUUGGAUGUAUUCUAUAAUUAUCAAUAUCCAACUUUAUGUUCUUUCAUGGGUAUCCCAGUUAUAAUACUAUUGGUUGAAAUAAUAAUUGUUCACAAGUUCUACAAACAAGUUACAUCAUCUAUUGGAGAAAAUCAGCUUUCAAGUGUUUUUGUUACACCAUACAUGACAACAUAAGAAUUCCUUAAUUAAUCAUAAAUAUGUCAUACUUCUCAUUUUCUAAUAUUAAUGACCAAUUUUCACAUUUAAUAAGGAUACAGCUGAUUGGACUAUUGUUUAAUAUCUUGAAUAGCAGAUAAAAUUGAUAUUGGCCUAUAGACUAUGAUGAGAAAGCUCGUUCUCAGGGGUCCAAACUUGGCGCCUAACCAACUACAAACCGGAAAGGGAGGGUGAAAUCUAGACGAAAUUAAGAGAAGCAACGUAAGAAUUUACAUUCACAACUUGGACCGAAUAUGAGAUUAAAAAUUUAACCACAAUACAAUAUUUGAAAAAAUUUGUGUAUACAUUCAGAAGGAUUGAUUAAUAAUAAAAUAUUUAUUAUACUAA